UUGACCUUGGUAGAACAAAGCAUGUGAAUGGGAAAUGCCAUGGCCAGCAGAGCAUAAAAAGUUCAUAUCUCUGAACUGAAAACAUAGUGCCUGAGAGAGAGCCAGACCAGACAGCACACCAGAAAAGGAUUCCUUGCAUACAAGGCCAACGUAUCUCAAGGAAAAGUAAUGACACAAUCAUUCCAAGAGAGCAGGAACAAAGCCUGCAGGAGCCAUGAUGGAAUAUUCCUUUCUCUGAGAGCAUAAUCACUUCUCCUGAGGUACAGAAGCCCCUGGCUGAGAAUGCAGGGCUCUCUGAGGUCAGCAGGUGUGCAGUGUUAAGAACCCACCAUAAUGGUAGGAGUGGGAUUCUGGAACUCCAUGAAGGCACUUUGAAACAACAGGUAGCUGGAAGUAACAACAGGUGGACUGGAACUUUGACAAGACUGUACUUGGAAUGGCAAGAGAAUAAUAAAAAUACAUUUGGGACUGAUACCUUGGGCUGAAAGUUGGCAUUCAGCUCUCCACCUACAUGCUUUUCUUUGCUUCUGACAAAUUGGGAGAAUGCCUGCAACGUGCUUCCUUGAAAUUGUAAAAGAGAAAAUUCUCAACAAAGAGACCUCCAAAUUGCUUUGCCUUUGACUGUCUGAAAUUCAGGUCUGUGAACUGUCAGGGUGAUCACCGCUGUCAUGUUUCAGGAUGAGAAAUGUGGUCUCUACGGUAACAACAACUCAGCAUGAUUAGUGCUCAGAAAUUAAAAUCACCUCCUUGAACUGUACUCUAAAGAUGGGAACCAGAGUCAAGGUGUCGAAGUAUUCAUUUUUUUUCAGCACACAGAGGAUGACGCAUACACCCCUAAAAGAAAGAACAGACUCUGAAUGAAUCUACAUGAGAAGCAUGAAUCUGUCCCAGGGGGGAUAUGCAACUGCAUGAGACUGGAGCCACAGGCUUCCCCACUCCACUCCGGCUGACUAGUAAGCAAAGAUGGUCCUAGGGUGUUACACGGUUGAAUAAGAGGAGGAAUCAAGAGAUGGAGAUGUGACGGGUGCCACACCCAGGACAGAACAGAGAAGUAACAUGAAGGUGUAAACCUGUGACUGGCUGGAGGCCUCCUUGUCCAUGUUGCUCCUCCCCUCGUGCUGGAAAAUGCCCUACCCAACUCCUCCUUCACAGUACACGGUAUUCUCCUGUACUUCACUUUGUUCAGACACUCUUCAGGAACUCAGAUCCUGACCAGGAAACCUUGAGAUAUCUGCCCACAGAUGGACAUGUUCUUCUAGUGACCAAACACCAGCUCUACAGUUUACUUUGCUCAAAAUAAAAGGAUCACGUUAUUGAGUCGAAAUAACAGCAAUUCCUGCUAAUGAGAGAACUAAGGUUAGAAAGUAGACAAUAACCAUUAUUACUGACAUAUACUGAGUUCUUGCAAAUGCACCAGGUAUUCUAGUUUUAUGAUCUAAUUUAAAUCUCAUAGCACCCCUGUGAGGUGGGUCUUUUAAUUUAUCUCAGUUUUACAGAUGAGGAGACUAAUGCUUGGAAAGACAAAGUAACUCACACAAAAGCACAAACAGGGUAGGGUAGAGUCAGAAUUUUCAUGUCAUAGGAAUGACUGUUGUCAAAAUGUGCAAUGUAGCUCACUUAUCUGUUUGCCAAGGUACUACACAUCUGACAAGAAGCAACUUUAUCUCCUAUGAAGGAACCUGGCUCUAAGCCCCAUAUACCUGUUAGAAGUAUUACUGAGAAUUUCUGGUCUCUCAGUGACAGCCAUAUUUGUCAAACUGACUAUGGGGAUUAUCAAAAUUUCAUUGCUUUUCUAUCUUCAUUCUCUUCCCCUAAGAAGAGGGGCAUUCACUAGACCUUUACUCAAUCCCCACUUUUCAGCCUGAAAAUCCAGCCUCCUUUUAGGACUUAGGCAAGAGAGAUUUAAGGAACAAUACUGAGUCGGUACUGUUCUUUAAAGAAAUGUCAGCAACAAGCUAGUCUUGCUGAGAAAGUGCAUUGAGGUUCAGUUCUCAAAGUAGGCUUGUUGCUAAGAGCCUUGUCUUCCUCAUAUACAAAUUCUAGUAAAUGGGUGAGGAAGCUGAGCCUCUAGUUUAGAAUGCCUAGAACUGUGACCCUACCUUUGCCUGGUAUACCCAGAGCCCUGAGUCCUGCCAUUUUUAUUCAAGCUCUUCUGGCAGAUGUCCCUACUGUGAACUGAGUAGAUCUUCAAAUAUGGCCAUGUCAAGAAGCACCAUGACUGGUUAUGCUCUGGCAUUUGGAUGCCCUAUUACUAUGCCAUGAAUAUUGAAUCCCAAAUGACAAAUAGGUCUCUUUGCCAAAAUCAUCCAUCUUCUGUGCUGGCUAGAGCUCUUACCCCCACCUCUACCCUGUAAUGGGAAAGGCCUAAUCUCAGGUCAUGCUUUCCUCAGCUGGUUCAGGCCAUCUGAAUUUAUCUGGGUCAUCCUCAGCCCUUUCAGCGCCUGUGUGGCAUAGGUGAUACACAUAUCAGUGUUAGCAUCAAUAUGACAUUCUCAAAUUCAACAAUGGUAUGUUAGGACUAUGGUCUCCAACUUCUUUCCCAGAAGCUGAAACAUGCCCAGCAAUAAUUUCUGGCACCUGGCCCAGAGCAUAGAAGGAUCAAACCUUGAGUUCUAAUGCCAAUAGUGCUUUUAACUCAUUAAAGAUGGGGGAAAAAUCACUUAGCCUUCUGUUGAUUCAUCCCAUUAGAAGAAUAUAGGGCCAAACUAUGGGGAGAUAAAUGAAGACUUGCUUUUAGAGUCACAGUUACAGUCAGAAAACCAGUUAAUAUUUAUUGACGUUAACGUGCCAGACACUGUGCUAUAUGCCACAGACAAUUAUCUUAUUUAAUCUUCACAACAAUCCAAUGAGCAAUUGUUAUAAUGGUCUAAAUAUUACAUUCGGGAAAAAUUAGGCUGGGAGAAUUAAGAAACUUGCCCAAGAUAAACAGAGCUAGCACAUCAUGGAACUCAGAGACAGCAAAGCCCUCUUUCUCUUCCCAGUGCAGAAGGUUCAUAUUUUCUCUCAAAAUAGCCAGAUGCAUAUGUAUAGGGACACAUAUGUUUUAAAUAUAUGCAAACUGAAUUUUCAAAAUUAUAAAUGCAUUUAAAGAAAAAAAAUGUUCAAUUGGAUCAAGGCUUCUUGAAUCUAUGAGGAAGGGGCUUGGUUAUGAAGAAUAAUGCUUAGAAAAACUGCUGAGCUCUUUUGAACAAUUGUUCAAAGUUUUUUUUUAUUUUUCAAAGAAGAUGCAACAUUGACUCCUAUUGAUAAGAACAAAAGAAAAGUAUUCUGAAUUAAUUUUCCUAGUUGUUUUUUAUGUAGUAUAUCUAUCAAUAAUAAAAAUUUGAUAAGAAUUAUUACUUAAAAAGUAUUUUUAAAGCCUUUAUUUCAGAUGGCUGUCUCUAAGGCCUGCCUACAAAAAUAAUUUUGUAAUUAUGUGCACAUUCUUUUUAUUUAUAGCUCUUAUUUUAAAAAAUAAAAUUUCCCAAACAGAUAUAACAACUACCUAAAAAAGAAAAUAUUCAACAAAGAAGAGAAAAAGUCCAAAGAGAUAGUUAAAUCACCACACAAGGAAGUUAAUUUGCCACAGAGGUAAAAGUUGAAAUGCCACAGAGAUCAAGAUAGUUAUAUAAACAUGGUACAGCGCUGAACCUGCACUGUUCAAUGCAAUUAUAAGGUGGUGGCAGUGGAAAGUUACUAAAGAAAGCAGCAAAUAAACACCAAAUUAACCAUUGCCUAAAUCCUAACCCAUUGAUAUUUCUUAUUCUACCUUAUUCCUCAAAAUUACAUUUAUCAAGAUGAUCCUUUAUUCCAAACAGGAGGAGAACAAUUCCUAUGAGGACCAGCAGGCUUCCCCUUCCCUUCAUUCCUAUUCAAGUCAUUGCAUUCUUUCGGUAAUUCUUGGCCUAUCAUUUUGGGGACAGCUGCUUGAAGGGAAAAAAAAUCAAGAAAUGUGGUGCAUGGCUAUCUUUCUCACAAAGAUUUUUAAAAUAUUUUUUUUACUGAGUUUCUGGCUCAUCUUGAUCUGAGAUUCACUACCUCAAUUUCUGUAGUCUUCUCUGUCUUUCUGGGUUUCAAUCCUACUGUGCAUUCUGUCCUCCAAGAUUCUGAAUGAAAGCUCCUGAUUGUGAAGCAGUCUACACUUGAUGGUUAACUUUUUGCAGAUCUUAAGCUCCAUAUCAGCCAGGUCUGACCCCUCACCCUGUGUAUCUCCAGUCUCUGUACAUUAGCCUACCCACAGAUGUUCAGUAUCAGUACUUCAUUCUGUACUUUCUGAAGGUUAAUUGUUUGAGUAAUUCAUCCACCAUAAUUUAGUUUUAUGCACAGAUACCCCACACUAUUAUAUUAUAAACAAUUCUAUCAGUACUGCCAACGUUUACUAAAUGCAUUGUAUUAUUUGGCUGUUAUACAUCACCAGCAGGAAAUUAAUGAAUUGGGCUUCCUGUUUGAACAGUCAUUCUGGUCCUAUAAAAAGCAAAAGUAGGAAGCAUUACAUUGUAGGGGCUACUUGAAUGUCAGGGACAAAACAUUUCAUGCAUCACCUGACAGCUGUAACAGAAAGGAUCUCUCUAUCACAUGAGGUCCAUAGACAGCCAGCAACAUCAAAAGCGUAGUAUAUUGCUCCCAGGUGGCAAAGCUGCCAAAUUACCUCUACAGGAAGUCUGACUAUGACAUACAUAAAAUAGUCAGUAAAAGGACUGCAGUUUUACAGAAUCAGCAUUCAGAACAGUCAGUAAAACUCUGCAUAAAUUAUACAAAUGACUUACAGAUAAUUCAUAUAGAAAACACCAAAGACCUCAUUGGUUUGUUCAACACCAUAGAUGAAUCAAAGCUGAAGAAAGACAAGUUGCAAGGGGUAAAUGGUAAAUUGGGAACUCAAACAGAGUAAAUAAUGAGGAAAAACAGAACAAUUUAUAAAUAUAGUCAUUUGUUCAACAUUUACACUGUGCCCAGUAGGUCCCAGUUAUUGAACUAGCAGUUCUAGAAAUAAAAAAUGAAAAAGAAAAUGUUUUUGUUCUGGAGCAGCUCACAUUGCAAUGAAUCAGACAAAUAUACAAAUCAGACAAAUGCACUGUACAGGGGCAGAGAGACAUGACCAGUUUCAUGGAGCAAGUAGAAGUAACCUUUAAAUGAUAUAAAAAGGAGUAAGAUACCGUGAAGAGAGGGAGAGAGGAACAGACCUUUCAAAAUAUAAGAAAAGGUCAGAAACAGCCAACAAAAGAGGUAAAACUGAUAAAGAGCUGUGAAAAGGAUCACUUAGGAGCAGGACACAGAGCCAUACCAGAGGCCAGAAAACCAAGAGUUGUUCAAUGAUCAGAGUGUGUCCUAUACAUGGGAAGUGGCACAGAAGGAGAGGGUCAGUGAAAUGCAGGGCUCUAUCACCCAACACCCAAUUGGAGAUAGGUAGCACCCUGCCCAUGGAGUACACUACAAGCUUAAAAUUCAAAAAGGAGGGCAGCUGAUGUAGCUCAGAUGCAGAGUGUUUGCCUGGCAUGCGUGAGGCUCUGGGUUUCAUUCCCAGUAUCACUAAAAAUAAGUAAAUUAAUAAAUAAAUAAAAAGUAUAUUUUCUUGAAGUUAGUUCUCAAAUAAACGUGCUUAGAAUGUUUUAUAAAAUAGGCAUCAUAAGAAGGACCAGAGCAGCCAUAAGAAAAGAUCAAUUUUGCAGUGACAGGAUUUGCUGGCUUUCAUACCUACUGAAUCCAAGA